rnacentral:rRNA from 1 species
GAUGAACGCUGGCGGCGUGCUUAACACAUGCAAGUCGAACGGUGAAGCAGAGCUUGCUCUGUGGAUCAGUGGCGAACGGGUGAGUAACACGUGAGCAACCUGCCCCUGACUCUGGGAUAAGCGCUGGAAACGGCGUCUAAUACCGGAUAUGAGCUGCGAUCGCAUGGUCAGCAGUUGGAAAGAUUUUUCGGUCUGGGAUGGGCUCACGGCCUAUCAGCUUGUUGGUGAGGUAAUGGCUCACCAAGGCAUCGACGGGUAGCCGGCCUGGGAGGGUGACCGGCCACACUGGGACUGAGACACGGCCCAGACUCCUACGGGAGGCAGCAGUGGGGAAUAUUGCGCAAUGGGCGAAAGCCUGACGCAGCAACGCCGCGUGAGGGAUGACGGCCUUCGGGUUGUAAACCUCUUUCAGCAGGGAAGAAGCGAAAGUGACGGUACCUGCAGAAGAAGCACCGGCUAACUACGUGCCAGCCGCCGCCGUAAUAC